rnacentral:rRNA from 1 species
UACGUAGGCUGUUAAGUAAGUCAGAUGUGAAAGCCCCGGGCUCAACCUGGGAACUGCAUUUGAUACUGCUUGGCUAGAGUCUGGUAGAGGGUAGUGGAAUUCCACGUGUAGCGGUGAAAUGCGUAGAUAUGUGGAGGAACAUCAGUGGCGAAGGCGGCUGCCUGGACCAAGACUGACGCUGAGGUACGAAAGCGUGGGGAGCAAACA